AAACUAAUCCAAUAUCGAUAUAACCAGAAAGGCUGCUCAGCAAGGAAGAAGCCACUGCUCCAAAACCGCCAUAAAAGCCAGACUACAGUUUGCAACUGCACAUGGGGACAAAGAUCAUACUUUUUGGAGAAAUGUCCUCUGGUCUGAUGAAUCAAAAUAAAAUUGUUUGGCCAUGAUGACCACCAUUUGGAGGAAAAAGGGGGAGGCUUGCAAACUGAAGAACACCAGCCCAACUGUGAAGCACGGGGGUGGCAGCAUCAUGUUGUGGGGGUGCUUUGUUGCAGGAGGGACUGGUGCACUUCACAAAAUACAUGACAUUAUGAGGAUGGAAAAUGAAUUGGAUAUAUUGAAGCAACAUCUCACGACAUCAGUCAGGAAGUUAAAGCUUGGUCGCAAAUGGUCGUCUAAAUGGACAGUGACCGCAAGCAUGCUUCCAAAGUUGUGGCAAAAUGGUUUAAGGACAACAAAGUCAAGGUAUUGGAGUGGCCAUCACAAAGCCCUGACCUCAGUUCUAUAGAAAUGAUGUGGGCAUAACUGAAAAAGUGUGUGCGUGCAAGGAGGCCUACAAACCUGACUCAGUUACACCAGCCCUGUCAGGAGGAAUGGGCCAAAAUUCACCCAACUUAUUGUGGGAAGCUUGUGCAAGGCUAUCUGAAAAGUUUGACCCAAGUUAAACAAUUGAAAGGCAAUGCUACCAAAUACUAAUUGAGUGUAUGUAAUCUUCUGACCCACUGUGAAUGUGGUGAAAGAAAUCAAAGCUGAAAUAAUUCUCUCCACUAUUAUUCUGACAUUCGUCGUCUCCAAUAAAACUGUGAAGGACCUCAGCGUUACUCUGGACACUGAUCUCUCUUUUGACGAACAUAUCAAGACUGUUUCAAGGACGUCUUUUUCCAUCUACAUAACAUUGCAAAAAUCAGAAACUUUCUGUCCAAAAAUAAUGCAGAAAAAUGUAUCCAUGCUUUUGUCACUUCUAGAGGACUUGAGCCCUUGGACCAUACCUCAGGACUACCUGGCCUGAUGACUCCUUGCUGUCCACGUGGAUGUGCUGCUGCUCCAGUUUCAUAUGCUCUGCCUGCGGCUAUGGAACCCUGACCUGCUCACCGGACGUGCUACUUGUCCCAGACCUGCUGUUUUCAACUCUCUGGAGACCGCAGGAGCGGUAGGGAUACUCUGAAUGAUCGACUAUGAUAAGUCAACUGACAUUUACUCCUGAGGUGCUGACCUGUUGCACCCUCGACAACCACUGUGAUUAUUAUUUGACCCUGCUGUUCGUCUAUGAACAUUUGAACAUCUUGGCCAUGUUCUGUUAUAAUCUCCACCCGGAGAUCUCCACCAAGCUAUGUUAUAAUCUCCACCAGGCUAUGAGGACUGGCCACCCCUCAUAGCCUGGUUCCUCUCUAGGUUUCUUCCUAGGUUUUGGCCUUUCUAGGGAGUUUUUCCUAGCCACUGUGCUUCUACACCUGCAUUGCUUGCUGUUUGAGGUUUUAGGCUGGGUUUCUGUACAGCAUUUUGUGACAUCAGCUGAUGUAAGAAGGGCUUUAUAAAUAAAUUUGAUUGAUUGACAUUUCAUUUUCUUGAAAUAAAGUGGUGAUCCUAACUGACCUAGGACAGGGAAUUUUUACUGUGAAAAACUGAGUUUAAAUGUAUUUGGCUAAGGUCUAUAUAAACUUCCGACUUCAACUGUACCUCUCAAAUACUUUCAGGUUUCUGUCGGUACCGAUCUUUAAAGAUUGGAGGGUUGACCAUUUUUACAAUCUACAAUGCAAUCAAUACUUUAUAUUGUGCUCCAUUCAAUAAUAUGAGAUUCUGUGGCUUGAUAAAAUAUUUC
ensembl:lncRNA